AAACGGCCGCGUUAGCGUGAGCGUGCUAAGGUAGCGUAAUAAUUAGCCUUUUAAUUGGAGGCCAGUGAAUGGCAAGACUAGGAACACCUUUACCAUAUGUAUAAAAAAAACUUUUCGUCUAAGUGAAAAGACUUAGAUAAUAAAGGUAGACGAAAAGACCCCGCGGAACUUUACCUUUUCGUAUACAACCGUGUACUCACCCCAAUGUAUAUAAGGUUUGAUUGGGGCAAUCUUGGAACCAGCAAAGCUUCCAAUUUCUUAGCUAAAACUUAUUUAGAAUUUGAUAAGGACCAAAAAGAAGUUACCCCGGGGAUAACAGCGUAAUCCAACUUAAGAGUACAUAUCGAAAGUUGGGUUUGCGACCUCGAUGUUGGCUUAAGGAUAUCCACAUAAGUGCAAC
rnacentral:rRNA from 1 species